rnacentral:misc_RNA from 1 species
GUUGGCCGCAGCUGAUAGAUAUGGACUGGACAGAUUGAAGCUUUUAUGUGAAGCAAAAUUAUGCGAAGAACUCACCUUCGACACUGUAGCAUCAACAUUGGCCUUGGCAGAACAACAUCAAUGUGAUUGUUUGAAGUCCAUGUGUCUAAAAUUCACAGCAGCUCGAGAGAAUUUGGCAGUUGUGAUGCAGACUGAAGGGUUCGAGUAUAUUGAGCAGACGUGCCCAUCACUGUUAUCUGACCUGUUAGCGACUGUUGCUGUGGCGAACGAGGAGUCAAC